CACACACACACACACACACACACACACACACACACACACACACACACACACACACACACAUACACACACACACAGACACACGGAUAUACACACAUACACACACACACACACACACAGACGUACGUAUAUACACACACACAGAUGUACGGAUAUACACACACACACACACAGACGUACGGAUAUACACACACACACAGACGUUGGGAUAUACACACACACACAGACGUACGGAUAUACACACACACACACAGAAGUACGGAUAUACACACACACACAGACGUACGGAUAUACACACACACACACAGACGUUGGGAUAUACACACACACACAGACGUACGGAUACACACACACACUCACAGACGUUGGGAUAUGCACACACACACAGACACACACACAGACAGACGGAUAUACACACACACACACACAGAAGUACGGAUAUACACACACACACACAGACGUACGGAUAUACACACACACACACACACACACAGACACGUACGGAUAUACACACACACACACAGACGUACGGAUAUACACACACACAGAUACGUUGGGAUAUACACACACACACACACAGAAGUACGGAUAUACACACACACACAGACGUACGGAUAUACACACACACACACACAGAAGUACGGAUAUACACACACACACAGACGUACGGAUAUACACACACACACACAGACGUAUGGAUACACACACACACAGACGUUGGGAUAUGCACACACACACACAGACGUAUGGAUACACACACACACAGACGUUGGGAUAUGCACACACACACAGACAUACGGAUAUGCACACACACACAGACAUACGGAUAUACACACACACACAGACGUACGGAUAUACACACACACACACAGAAGUACGGAUAUACACACACACACACAGACGUACGGAUAUACACACACACACACACACAGACGUUGGGAUACACACACACACACAGACGUACGGAUAUACACACACGCACAGACGUACGGAUAUACACACACACACACAGACGUACGGAUAUACACACACACACAGACGUACGGAUAUACACACACACACACACAUAAACAGACACACACACACCUCCGUUUGACCUCCAGUCGACAGGCCAUGUCACAGGCUGUCGUCUUGUCUUCAUCUCUGUUGCUCUCAUCUUCUCCUCUAACGCAUCCUCUUCUCCCAUUAACACAUUCUCCUUCUUCCAUCACUGCUAUAUCUGACUCAAAAACCGUGCGCGUGUGUGUGAUUGAUCAUCUCCAGUCGGGCUGUGAUCAGUAAUCAGAGGCAG
ensembl:lncRNA